rnacentral:rRNA from 1 species
AUUGAACGCUGGCGGCAGGCCUAACACAUGCAAGUCGAGCGGAUGAAGGGUGCUUGCUCCUGGAUUCAGCGGCGGACGGGUGAGUAAUGCCUAGGAAUCUGCCUGGUAGUGGGGGAUAACGUCCGGAAACGGGCGCUAAUACCGCAUACGUCCUGAGGGAGAAAGUGGGGGAUCUUCGGACCUCACGCUAUCAGAUGAGCCUAGGUCGGAUUAGCUAGUUGGUGGGGUAAAGGCCUACCAAGGCGACGAUCCGUAACUGGUCUGAGAGGAUGAUCAGUCACACGGGAACUGAGACACGGUCAAGACUCCUACGGGAGGCAGCAGUGGGGAAUAUUGGACAAUGGGCGAAAGCCUGAUCCAGCCAUGCCGCGUGUGUGAAGAAGGUCUUCGGAUUGUAAAGCACUUUAAGUUGGGAGGAAGGGCAGUAAGUUAAUACCUUGCUGUUUUGACGUUACCAACAGAAUAAGCACCGGCUAACUUCGUG